rnacentral:rRNA from 1 species
GAAACGGCUGCUAAUACCGCAUAUGUCAACUUCGGUUGGGAAAGAUGGCUUCGGCUAUCGCCAUAGGAUGGGCCCGCGUCCCAUCAGCUAGUUGGUAGGGUAAAGGCCUACCAAGGCAUCGACGGGUAGCUGGUCUGAGAGGAUGAUCAGUCACACUGGAACUGAGACACGGUCCAGACUCCUACGGGAGGCAGCAGUAGGGAAUAUUGCGCAAUGGGCGAAAGCCUGACGCAGCAACGCCGCGUGAGUGAUGAAGGCCUUCGGGUCGUAAAGCUCUGUUGUAGAGGGAAGAACAUAUUGUCGGGUAAUAUUCGGCGGUACUGACGGUACCUCUUCAGAAAGCUCCGGCUAACUCCGUGCCAGCAGCCGCGGUAAUACGGAGGGAGCGAACGUUGUUCGGAAUCACUGGGCGUAAAGCGCAUGUAGGCGGCUUGAUAAGUCAGAUGUGAAAGCCCACGGCUCAACCGUGGAAGUGCAUUUGAAACUGUCAGGAUAGAAUACGGGAGAGGGUUGUA